rnacentral:misc_RNA from 1 species
CAAUACUAUCCCCAGCCCACAUCGACAAUUAUGGCCCAACAGGGAGAAAUUCCGAUGAACCCUGCUCCAUCUGUCGCCUUGCGCCACCCAGAAAUGUCAGUUGCGGCCAAGCGCAGCCGUGAUGAGUUUGAAGUUGCGACGGUCUCCGCAGCAGGUGAGACGGAAGGAUCGGCCUCAAAAAGGGCCAAAUCGCAAGACAUUAUAUUUAGGAUCGUAGUGCCG